UACGUAGGGGGCUAGCGUUGUCCGGAAUCAUUGGGCGUAAAGAGCAUGUAGGCGGCCCGGUAAGUCCGCUGUGAAAGUCGGGGGCUCAACCCUCGGAUGCCGGUGGAUACUGUCGGGCUCGAGUACGGAAGAGGCGAGUGGAAUUCCUGGUGUAGCGGUGAAAUGCGCAGAUAUCAGGAGGAACACCAAUUGCGAAGGCAGCUCGCUGGGACGUUACUGACGCUGAGACGCGAAAGCGUGGGGAGCAAACAGG
rnacentral:rRNA from 1 species